rnacentral:rRNA from 1 species
GCGGAGGAAAAGAAACCAACAGGGAUUGCCCUAGUAACGGCGAGUGAAGCGGCAACAGCUCAAAUUUGAAAUCUGGCUUCGGCCCGAGUUGUAAUUUGCAGAGGAAGCUUUAGGCGCGGCACCUCCUGAGUCCCCUGGAACGGGGCGCCACAGAGGGUGAGAGCCCCGUAUAGUUGGAUGCCUAGCCUGUGUAAAGCUCCUUCGACGAGUCGAGUAGUUUGGGAAUGCUGCUCAAAAUGGGAGGUAAAUUUCUUCUAAAGCUAAAUACCGGCCAGAGACCGAUAGCGCACAAGUAGAGUGAUCGAAAGAUGAAAAGCACUUUGAAAAGAGGGUUAAAUAGCACGUGAAAUUGUUGAAAGGGAAGCGCUUGUGACCAGACUUGCGCCGGGCUGAUCAUCCGGUGUUCUCACCGGUGCACUCUGCCCGGCUCAGGCCAGCAUCGGUUCUCGCGGGGGGAUAAAGGCCCUGGGAACGUAGCUCCUCCGGGAGUGUUAUAGCCCGGGGCGCAAUGCCCUCGCGGGGACCGAGGUUCGCGCUCUGCAAGGAUGCUGGCGUAAUGGUCAUCAGCGACCCGUCUUGAAACACGGACCAAGGAGUCAAGGUUUUGCGCGAGUGUUUGGGUGUAAAACCCGCACGCGUAAUGAAAGUGAACGUAGGUGAGAGCUUCGGCGCAUCAUCGACCGAUCCUGAUGUUCUCGGAUGGAUUUGAGUAGGAGCGUUAAGCCUUGGACCCGAAAGAUGGUGAACUAUGCUUGGAUAGGGUGAAGCCAGAGGAAACUCUGGUGGAGGCUCGCAGCGGUUCUGACGUGCAAAUCGAUCGUCAAAUCUGAGCAUGGGGGCGAAAGACUAAUCGAACCAUCUAGUAGCUGGUUACCGCCGAAUUUCCCCUCAGGAAA